GUUGGAGAUCUCUCUUCUGUGGAGUUUUAAUGUAAGCCUACAUCUUCAGAGAGAGGUGCUCCCUACCUCCAUUUUGCAGAGAAAGCCUGAGAGGAGCAGGCACUGGCACCCGCAGCAGGAGGAGCAGCCCUGUGUUUCUCUGGUGAGGUGCAAUUUGAAGCUGAGGAUUUUCAGUGCACCUGUUCCUGGAGGCUGGAAGCAAUGUUGCUUUUAAUUGGCUAAUGUUGCCCUAUAAAACUUGAGCUUUAAGACUCGGAAACCUGAUAGCUGCUUGGAGUUCCCUUGGAAAUAACCAGAGAUGGCCCAAGAGCACCUAAAAGGAAGAGCGUGUGGAGACUUGUGCUGAAAAAUACAAGAUUUCUCAGCCUUCUGUUUACUGAGCAAACUUGAUGCAGCAAUCAAAGGUGCCCACUGCUGCCCUGUUGGAGAACGAGCGUGGAUCCAAGCAGAGAAGAAGCUGUGCUGGAGUUGCUGCAGAAGUUCUGCUUGGGCUUCAAUUCUCAAGUGAAACCCUCUGCUGCCUGCUGAGCUCCACACCUGUAGUGAUCUGACCUUAGACCAGGGCCUGACUUAGUGCUCAGGACUGUAUAUUCAGCAGUGUUGUUUGCUCAGGGGCUGGCUGUUUUUAAGUAAGCAUGAAGUAGGACAGUAUAAGAGUAUAGGUUACCUUCUAUUUGUGUAUAUUUUCCAAAUCAUUUGCCAGAGCACCUCAAAAACAUAUUCUUUAAACCCAGUAAAAUCCUAAGGAAGCACAGGGCCAAACCCCAAUACCCCAGAGACUGCCUGACUUGGUCUCUGGCUAUGACCAGCUUUUUAAUUUGAGGGCACUUGUCUGGAUCCCUACCACGAUUAUACCAAAAGCAUCCUUUCCACAGUCAGAGGAUUAAGCCCUGCUCAGGUUUAAGGUCUCCUGCUCCCAGUCUGCAUUAAGCCAUCUGGUUUGUGUGCCGCUGACCUUUGUCAGUUCGCAUUAAUUCACAGGGGUUGAUGAAAGAGUUCCAAGCUGCAGAGCUAUGAGUCACUGCUGGGACAUAGAUGGGUAAUGAAAAAGCUGUUCCAUUUUGUUUUGAAUUCCAGAUCUUCACAAAUAAAUCUGUUUGGACCCAA